rnacentral:lncRNA from 1 species
CACUUAUGUGAAGGGUCAUGAAGACAAGGACGCAAGGGACACACUUGAUAUGAUAAAAAUGGCAAAGACUGCAGAUGCCAAAGAUCCAAUGGCUAUACCAGCUGACCUUGGUUUUGAUGAGAAUUGUAAAAGAGUAGUGGAUGAGAUCAUCAAUACUUAUGGCAGAAUUGAUAUUCUUGUCAACAAUGCAGCUGAGCAGUAUGAGUGUGGUUCAAUUGAGGAGAUUGAUGAACCAAGACUUAUUAGGGUGUUCCAAACCAACUUCUUCUCCUAUGUCUUCAUGACUAGGUAAGAAACAAAAGUGGCGACAACACUUCCUGUAACACUCUUUUCAACACUUACUCUCUCAUUAGGUGAAUUUUAUGUAGGUUCAUCCGGACCUAUGCAUGAAUUUCAGUUAACAAGUAGAUAGAGCCUUGGAAAGUUGCAAUAAAAUGUUAAUCAAAUUAUAUUAUUAUAUAUGUAUAACAUAAAAUUGGAUCCAUAUAUAACAUAGUCUUGUAACUCUUAAAUUAAAAUAAAGCAUAGGUUAUUUCAUGAUUUUGGGUUUGACAAACUUUUGUAUAAUAGGCAUGCAC